rnacentral:rRNA from 1 species
UGGGGAAUUUUGGACAAUGGGGGAAACCCUGAUCCAGCCAUCCCGCGUGUGCGAUGAAGGCCUUCGGGUUGUAAAGCACUUUUGGCAGGAAAGAAACGUCGCGGGUUAAUACCCCGCGAAACUGACGGUACCUGCAGAAUAAGCACCGGCUAACUACGUGCCAGCAGCCGCGGUAAUACGUAGGGUACAAGCGUUAAUCGGAAUUACUGGGCGUAAAGCGUGCGCAGGCGGUUCGGAAAGAAAGAUGUGAAAUCCCAGAGCUUAACUUUGGAACUGCAUUUUUAACUACCGGGCUAGAGUGUGUCAGAGGGAGGUGGAAUUCCGCGUGUAGCAGUGAAAUGCGUAGAUAUGCGGAGGAACACCGAUGGCGAAGGCAGCCUCCUGGGAUAACACUGACGCUCAUGCACGAAAGCGUGGGGAGCAAACAGGAUUAGAUACCCUGGUAGUCCACGCCCUAAACGAUGUCAACUAGCUGUUGGGGGCCUUCGGGCCUUGGUAGCGCAGCUAACGCGUGAAGUUGACCGCCUGGGGAGUACGGUCGCAAGAUUAAAACUCAAAUGAAUUGAC